rnacentral:tmRNA from 2 species
GGGGCUGAAUACUGGAUUCGACGAAAUUUGCUAAACUAAAGGUGCAUGCCGAGGUGGGGUUUGCCUCGUAAAAAAGCCUCAAAAAGUAAUUGCAAACGACUCGCAAUACGAAUCUGUUGCAUUAGCAGCUUAAUCAGUCUAAUAACCUGAAGAUUCCCUUUCUCCCUAGCCUCAGCUCUUAGGACGGGGAGCAAGAAAGGUCAACACUACAAGAGAUCGCACCGAUGUCUUGCCUGGGGCUGAAGUGUUAAAUACUACAAGCAGGCUAGUCUGUUAGUGGUGUGUCAGUCCGCAGCUAACAAGCAAAUUAAAAGACUUGACUAAGCAUGUAGCGCCGAAGGGGCAGAAAUGACGGACGCGGGUUCAAAUCCCGCCAGCUCCACCA